rnacentral:lncRNA from 1 species
GGCCACUUGGUCCUGCGUUAACAACUAGAACCAGGAAUCUUCAAUUAUCAUAAUAACCAACAAGGUCAAGAGAGCAGGCAAUAGCAUUUGACCUCUGGGGAGUUGAGAUCAUUAAUGUAGUACAGUGUCCAUAAAGACCCAUGGAAAUCUAGGGAGAAAAACCCUAUAGUACCAAAGGGAAUAUACACUCUGAAGAUUCUCCAGUCUUUCCUCAUAGACACCUAUAGCCAGUCACUCAAGUGACUGUACCUGGGGAAGUGGGAAAUGAGAAGAUAUACUGAGGACUACUGAAUAUUGAAGCUGAAUUGGAACCCACACCUGGAGACCCACAGGGUCAUGAUGACCCCAUUAUAAUUGGAGCCUAUUAGAGUCUUAC